UAUUUAUUAUAAGUACACUGUAGCUGUUUUCAGACACAGAUGCAGAGUGCAUCAGAUCUCAUUACGGAUGGUUGUGAGCCACCAUGUGGUUGCUGGGAUUUGAACUCAGGACCUCUGGAAAAGCAGUCAGUGCUCCUAACCACUGAGCCAUCUCUCCAGCCCGUAUCUGUUCUUUAUACCAGGCUAUGCCUGUGUUCUGAUUUGAACAAACAUUAGCAAACUUCGGUAUGACCCGAAACAAAAGAACCAGAUUUAAACCCUGUGUAGCACUGCCAACUUCUUGUUAGCUUGCGCUAAUUUUAUUUUAUUUUGUUUUUAUUUAUUUAUACAUUCAUUCCUUCAUUUUUAUUUCUGGAACUCAAAGAGAUCUACCUGCCUCCCCCUCCCAGAUGCUGGAUUAAAGCUGUGUCUACCAUGCAUGGCUGGUUUGUGGUAAUUUUAAAUGUUUACUUGUUCAUUCACACGCAUUUUUACUCCCUAAACAACCUGUGGUAAAAUGGAUGCUGGGCAGUUUAGAAUGUGGCCUUUGUGCAGCCAGUGUGUGUUGCCUGGAGGUGACAGCUAAUGUCAACACUCUGCAUACUGCAGUGAGUCUUUGCUCUCAAGCGAUUAGCAGUGUGUGUCCUGUGAUUCAUUCAUUCACCAAGCCUUUAUUCAGUGAACUCUGCCCCAGGACUGUGGUGAGACCCAGUGAUUAAACAGAACCAAUGGCUUGCA
rnacentral:lncRNA from 1 species